rnacentral:rRNA from 1 species
AAAACAUGUUCUUUUGUUUAUAUAAAAGAUCUGACCUGCCCAAUGAUUAUUAUUUAAUGGCUGCAGUAUUUUGACUGUACAAAGGUAGCAUAAUCAUUUGUCUUUUGAUUGAAGUCUAGAAUGAAUGGUUUGAUGAAAAAUAUAUUUUCUUUAUUUUAUAAUGAAAAUUUAAUCUUUUAGUUAAAAAGCUAGAAUUUGAUUAUAGGACGAGAAGACCCUAUAGAACUUUAUUUUUGAUUUCAUAUGUUUAAUAUGGUAUAUUAUAAAAUAUAUGAAGGUUAAAUUUUGUUGGGGUGACAGAAAAAAUAUAAUAACUUUUUCUAUUUUUUUCAUAUUUAUUGAAUUUUUGAUCCUUUUUUAGGGAUAUAAGAUUAAGUUACCUUAGGGAUAACAGCGUUAUUGUUUUGGAGAGUUCAUAUCGAUAAAAUAGUUUGCGACCUCGAUGUUGGAUUAUAAUAAGAUAUGGGAGUAGAAUAUUAUUUUCUAGGUCUGUUCGACCUUUAAAUUUUUACAUGAUCU